AAAUGAAUUGACGGGAGCCCGCACAAGCAGUGGAGUAUGUGGUUUAAUUCGACGCAACGCGAAGAACCUUACCAGGGCUUGACAUCUACGGAAGACUGGGUAAAGCCGGUUGUGCCCCUUCGGGGGAACCGUGAGACAGGUGGUGCAUGGUUGUCGUCAGCUCGUGUCGUGAGAUGUUGGGUUAAGUCCCGCAACGAGCGCAACCCUUACGGUUAGUUGCUACGAAAGAGCACUCUAACAGGACUGCCGUUGACAAAACGGAGGAAGGUGGGGAUGACGUCAAAUCAUCAUGCCCUUUACGCUCUGGGCUACACACGUACUACAAUGGCGCAAACAAAGGGGAGCGAGGCGGCGACGCUGAGCAAAUCCCAAAAAGGCGCCCCAGUUCAGAUUGCAGGCUGCAACUCGCCUGCAUGAAGUUGGAAUUGCUAGUAAUCGUAAAUCAGCAUGUUACGGUGAAUACGUUCCCGGGCUUUGCACACACCGCCCGU
rnacentral:rRNA from 1 species